UCAGAGGGGUAGGUGGGGGCUGGGCUCUGGCUCACACUGCUACGGUCACUGGCCCGGGGCAGCUCAGGGGUCUUGCCCUGUUCAUAGCUGCUGCUCACUGCUGGGCCACUGUAGCUGGUUUCAGAGGGGGCUGAAGACAUGGCCACAACGGGGCUGGUGAUCACCUCAUAGUUGGUGGGCACUUUCUGCUCCAAGUCAGCGAGAGAUGUCUGGCGUGGCUUCUGGUGGGGGGCACGGCUGUCAGCUGGGACCGGAAAAAGGGUGCUCUGUGUGGUUGGCAUGGGUGUUUGGGCUGCAUAGUGGCCUGUGGGACGGAAAGCCUGCUGGUUUGGCAGGCCAGGCUCAGCUGGGUAGCUGGUGCCAGGAGGAAAGGCAGGUGCUGGGUAUGUGCUUGGGCCAGGGUAGGUGGGUGGUUGGUGGGCUGGGAAUCCGUUCUGAGUUGGCCCACCACUGCCUGCGGUGUACUGUGGGGCUGGAGGUGGGAACCGGGGCUGCUGGAAGACAGCAGGGCCGGAGGGAGUGGCAGGAGCUGCGGCAGUGGCAGGGAAGUCCACAUACUGGCCGGCAGGAGUGGUGCAGCCCUGGAGACGCAGCUGGUUGAGCUCACUGUCUGACAGAUAGUCACGAUGCUCACCAAGACCUCGCAAAGCUCUGCCUGCUUCUUGCGCAGCUUGGUGGACUCAUGCUCCACCAGCCGCAGGUCCCGGUCCAGCUCCCGGAGCAGGCUGGCCUUGGUAGCAGGGACAGCGGUGGGCCCCGCCAGCCCUCGCUGCAGCAGGCUGGCUGCAUACAGCUGUUGGGGGGCCUGGCCAGCCAGGGGAAGAGCUCCGGACAGUGAGUGAGUGGGGCAGGGGCAGCGUUCCUUCUGUGCAGGUUUCCAGCACUGGCCUGCCACACAUGGCUUUGAGAACCCCUGCACAUCUCCACUGGGCUUCCACCCUCUGAGCCCAUGGCCAGGCUACCUCUCACAGUCCCUGUAUAUAUCACUGGCAACUAAAGCCACAGCCACAGGUAAGUUUAUGCUCCAGGAGCCCCUAUCUAGGGAAGCAGACAGCUAUGUAAACAGAUUUACUGAGGGCCCGGUAGGGGUGGGGAACACCCUGAGGCAGAGGGCACACUGCAGCCCACUGGGAUGAGCCUCGAGGGCUAGGCCAUGGGGUUUGGACUUUCUGUGGUGCAAUGGAAGCCAGGCCAGGGCUGGGAAGCGGGGAGCAGCCCAGCUAGGUCUAUGUUACUCAUUUUCUCAGGAAACAUCCAUAGAUGAGGUUUGGAGUGGGAGGGGCCAAGACUGGAAGUAAGAGCGGAACAGGCCUGAAGGGGAAGUGGCAGGGGCUGGACUAGGUAUGGGGGGGAUGAAGGGAUAGUGCUUGGGAGAGGCUGAAGUCUCUAGUGGGUGUCUGGCUGUAAGGCUGUGGGGGCCAUGUGUGUCUGGAUCUGCCCAGGCUGGGCCUGCCAGGUUGCAGGCUCUAUCAGAUGUGCAUCAAGGAGGGUCUGUUCCUUGGCUCCUUCCCCUGGGCCUCUGGAGUCAAAGGUGACUCCACUCCCACCCCAGGAGAAGCCCCUCCCUGUGGGGGCCCCUCAGGCUAGGCAGAGACCCCUGUCCCACCCUGGACCAGCCCCUGUGCCCAUACCUGGCUACCCAGUCCCCCCUGGUGCUGGUAGAGGGAGAACCUCUCUUUGGCAGACUCCUCGGCGGUGGGGCUGAGGGGCUUAGGGUCAGACAAGGACCGCUGCAGGGUCUUCAUGGGGCGAGGCAGCGUCUGCUGGCGGAGAGCGCUGUCAGCUGUGAAGUGCUUCUGGGGACUCACGUGAGCCUUGUUCAGCCUCUCACUGGAAGCAAAGGAGGUGUCCAGGAGCCGGUGUGGGGAGAGGGGUGAGACUGCAAAGCCCAGGUCCCGUGAGGAGGCCUGCCGCAUGCGAACUAUGCUCUGUGAUGUCUGAAGAAUUUCCUCAUACACAGCUGCUUCCAGGCUGGCCGGCGUGCCCUCUGAGGCAGGCUGAGCAGUCCGGCCAUAGUCAUGGUCUGGGGCACCUUGGUAUUCAAAGGAACCCUGGCCCCGGGGGCCUGUGGGCUGAGAUGGGCCAUCAUGGGGCCCCCGGGCCCCUGCCACCUGGCCCUGUUGCCGCUGGAGCAGCUCGGCUUUUCUCAUCAUCUCCUCGUAGGCCUCCUCAGCGCUCUUGAGGGGCCGAACAGAACUGGGAGUGGUGGAGCUACCCGAGGGUGUCUCAGUUGGAUAUCCUCCAGCUCUUCCUCAGAGUCAAAGGCCUCAGGCGUGAUGGACAAGGAGUGGGGCCGUCGCGUCUGCUCCUCACCUGUGGUGCUGCAGGGAGGCUUGCUCUGCUCACCACUGGGGGCCAGG